UACGUAGGCAGCGAGCGUUGUUCGGAAUUACUGGGCGUAAAGAGUGUGUAGGCGGUGCUCUAAGUUCGGUGUGAAAUCUCCCGGCUCAACUGGGAGGGUGCGCCGGAAACUGGGGGUGCUGGAGCGCGGGAGAGGAAAGCGGAAUUCCUGGUGUAGCGGUGAAAUGCGUAGAUAUCAGGAGGAACACCGGCGGUGUAGACGGCUUUCUGGACCGUAGCUGACGCUGAGACACGAAAGCGUGGGUAGCGAACAGG
rnacentral:rRNA from 1 species